GAGCUGGAGUAGAUACGUAGCACAUAUACUAAAAUUGGAACGAUACAGAGAAGAUGAGCACGGCCUCCGCGCAAGGAUGACAUACAAAUUCGUCAAGCGUUCCAUAAUUUU
rfam:Ornithorhynchus anatinus chromosome 2, whole genome shotgun sequence.